AUCUGUAAAAAAUAAAAAAAUAAAAAAAUAGGAAAGAUCUAUGAUUUUGGUAUGGGGUAAGCUUGUGUGAAAAUACAAUUUAAGCA